CAGUAGCCGCGGUAAUGCGUAGGUGGCAAGCGUUGUCCGGAAUUAUUGGGCGUAAAGGGCUCGCAGGCGGUUUCUUAAGUCUGAUGUGAAAGCCCCCGGCUCAACCGGGGAGGGUCAUUGGAAACUGGGAAACUUGAGUGCAGAAGAGGAGAGUGGAAUUCCACGUGUAGCGGUGAAAUGCGUAGAGAUGUGGAGGAACACCAGUGGCGAAGGCGACUCUCUGGUCUGUAACUGAUGCUGAGGAGCGAAAGCGUGGGGAGCGAACAGGAUUAGAUACCCCAGUAGUCCCUGUCUCUUAUAC
rnacentral:rRNA from 1 species